CUGGACUGUAACUGACGCUGAGGCACGAAAGCGUGGGGAUCAAACAGGAUUAGAUNCCCUGGUANNCCACGCCGUAAACGAUGAAUGCUAGCUGUUAGCGAUAUACUGUUAGCGGCACAGAGAAAUCGUUAAGCAUUCCACCUGGGGAGUACGCCGGCAACGGUGAAACUCAAAGGAAUUGACGGGGNNCCGCACAAGCGGAGGAACAUGUGGUUUAAUUCGAUGAUACGCGAGGAACCUUACCUGGGCUUAAAUUGCAGUGGAAUAACGUGGAAACAUGUUAGCCUUCGGGCCGCUGUGAAGGUGCUGCAUGGUUGUCGUCAGCUCGUGCCGUGAGGUGUCGGCUUAAGUGCCAUAACGAGCGCAACCCUCAUCGAUAGUUACUAACAGGUUAAGCUGAGGACUCUAUCGAGACUGCCGACGUAAGUCGUGAGGAAGGUGGGGAUGACGUCAAAUCAGCACGGCCCUUACGUCCAGGGCUACACACGUGUUACAAUGGGGGGUACAAAGGGCAGCUACCUGGCGACAGGAUGCUAAUCUCAAAAACCUCUCUCAGUUCGGAUUGGAGUCUGCAACCCGACUCCAUGAAGCUGGAUUCGCUAGUAAUCGCGCAUCAGCCACGGCGCGGUGAAUACGUUCCCGGGCCUUGUACACACCGCCCGUCAAGCCAUGGGAGCCGGGGGGACCUGAAGUAUGCAACCGUAAGGAGCGUCCUAGGGUAAAACUGGUGACUGGGGCU
rnacentral:rRNA from 1 species